GAUGAACGCUGGCGGCGUGCCUAAUACAUGCCAGUCGAGCGAACGGACGAGAAGCUUGCUUCUCUGAUGUUAGCGGCGGACGGGUGAGUAACACGUGGAUAACCUACCUAUAAGACUGGGAUAACUUCGGGAAACCGGAGCUAAUACCGGAUAAUAUUUUGAACCGCAUGGUUCAAAAGUGAAAGACGGUCUUGCUGUCACUUAUAGAUGGAUCCGCGCUGCAUUAGCUAGUUGGUAAGGUAACGGCUUACCAAGGCAACGAUGCAUAGCCGACCUGAGAGGGUGAUCGGCCACACUGGAACUGAGACACGGUCCAGACUCCUACGGGAGGCAGCAGUAGGGAAUCUUCCGCAAUGGGCGAAAGCCUGACGGAGCAACGCCGCGUGAGUGAUGAAGGUCUUCGGAUCGUAAAACUCUGUUAUUAGGGAAGGACAUAUGUGUAAGUAACUGUGCACAUCUUGACGGUACCUAAUCAGAAAGCCACGGCUAACUACGUG
rnacentral:rRNA from 1 species